GGCCGGUUGGCGCAAUGGUAGCGCGUUGCUUUCCGGCGAGUCUCAGUUCAUGAGAUCUUGUUUGGCAAAGGUUGCGGGUUCGAGUCCCGUGCUGGUCG
rfam:Microdochium bolleyi strain J235TASD1 unplaced genomic scaffold Micbo1qcscaffold_7, whole genome shotgun sequence.